GCGGGAAAAAGCACCGCGCGCACUCGCCUGUGGUAGCGGCUGAGAUUUCUCCUGCUCGCUUCAGGCGCAGUGGAUUUUUGUGCAUUUUUUAGGAAAAGUGAAAUGUCGUGAACAUACUGAUUAAUAACAGAUGAUCGAUCGAGUCUUGGUCACAUUGAUUGAUAAAGAAAGUCAUGUAAGUGGAUUUCCACACUGAGCUGAGCAUUGCAGUGUCCUGCAGUUUCUGAGAAGCAUCCUGUUGGGCGGUCUGUACCCGUGCACCGUGUUUACAGCUUUGAACACCAUGCUGAAACUGGGGACCAGCUGUAUACUUGGGCAGCAUCCAGCCACCCCACCUCACUCUGUGGACCAGUACAAGGGCCACUUCUGGUCCCUGUGACCCCUGAGAUAUACUGGGACUGGGAGUAGAAUCUGUGUGGAGUUUGCAUAUUAUUUCAUGGUUCAGGUAAGUUUCCUCCCACAGUCCAGUCACUUGUGAAUUGUCACCCUAAAUUGGCUUUUGUGUGUGUGUGUGUGUGUGUGUGUGUGUGUGUUGGGGGGGGACUGCCAUGCCAUGCCAUGCCCUUUUAUGGACUGGUGUCC
rnacentral:lncRNA from 1 species